rnacentral:snoRNA from 7 species
AGACCACACUUGAACAGGAUAUGUUCUAUGGGAUCGUAUCGUUGCAUCGUUGAAUAAUAAGGAGGCAAGAACUUAAGUCUGGUUGAUGAGACAAUGACCUGUGGGCCAGAGCAUGAUUAACGGACA